CUAGUUGUUGCUAGGCUAGACCUGGCAGUAAUGCAGUUAACACAUUAAGUGUGCCGCCUGGGGAGUACGGUCGCAAGAUUAAAACUCAAAGGAAUAGACGGGGACCCGCACAAGCGGUGGAGCAUGUGGUUUAAUUCGACGAUACGCGAAGAACCUUACCUGGGCUUGACAUUUAGAGAAUUUUCCAGAGAUGGAUUAGUGCUAGCUUGCUAGAACUCUAGGACAGGUGCUGCACGGCUGUCGUCAGCUCGUGUCGUGAGAUGUUGGGCUAAGUCCCGCAACGAGCGCAACCCACGUGAUUAGUUGCUAACAGUUCGGCUGAGAACUCUAAUCAGACUGCCUUCGUAAGGAGGAGGAAGGUGUGGACGACGUCAAGUCAUCAUGGCCCUUACGCCCAGGGCUACACACGUGCUACAAUGGGAUAUACAGAGAGCCGCAAUACCGCGAGGUGGAGCAAAUCUUUAAAAUAUCUCCCAGUUCGGAUAGUACUCUGCAACUCGAGUGCUUGAAGUUGGAAUCGCUAGUAAUCGUAGAUCAGCAAUGCUACGGUGAAUACGUUCCCGGGUCUUGUACUCACCGCCCGUCACACCAUGGGAAUUGAAUUCAUUCGAAGCGGGGAUGCUAAAAUAGCUACCUUCCACAGUGGAUUUAGUAGGUGGGGUGAAGUCGUAACAAGGUAACC
rnacentral:rRNA from 1 species